AAGAAGAGCACAGCCAGUGGGGAGGGACCCGUAGGAGCAGCAGUCUGGGGGAAUGGAAAGCUCAUCCGUGACUCCACUUGACCUGCUGCUCAGGGUGAGUCUACAUUAUGGGAUUAUGUGCCUGAAACGGCUCAACUAUGACCGGAAGGACCUGGAGCGGAGGCGGGAAGAAAGUCAGACCCAGAUCCGAGACGUGAUGGUGUGGUCCAAUGAGCGGGUCAUGGGUUGGGUGUCCGGGCUGGGCCUGAAGGAAUUUGCCACGAACCUCACGGAGAGCGGGGUACACGGGGCACUGCUCGCCCUGGACGAGACCUUCGACUACUCCGACCUGGCCUUGCUCCUGCAGAUCCCCACGCAGAAUGCACAGGCCCGGCAGCUCCUGGAGAAGGAAUUCAGCAACCUUAUCUCCUUAGGCACAGACAGGCGGCUGGACGAGGACAGCGCCAAGUCUUUCAGCCGCUCCCCAUCCUGGCGGAAGAUGUUCCGGGAGAAGGACCUCCGAGGCGUAACUCCCGACUCAGCUGAGAUGUUGCCCCCCAACUUUCGUUCGGCUGCAGCAGGAGCCCUGGGCUCUCCGGGGCUCCCUCUCCGCAAGCUGCAGCCAGAAGGCCAGACUUCUGGGAGUUCCCGGGCAGACGGCGUUUCGGUCCGGACCUAUUCCUGCUAGUGCAGGCCUCCAGGUGACCUCACUCGGACGGAAGAAUCUUCCCGAGGCUGGGCUGUUCCCUCUCCUGCCCGGACUGUGGCCUCGCUGGGGAGAGCGGGCGGGGGAGCUCGCGCCGAGGACUGGACCAUCUGU
rnacentral:sRNA from 1 species